rnacentral:rRNA from 1 species
GAGCCUGAAUCAGUAUGUGUGUUAGUGGAAGCGUCUGGAAAGGCGCGCGAUACAGGGUGACAGCCCCGUACACAAAAAUGCACAUGCUGUGAGCUCGAUGAGUAGGGCGGGACACGUGGUAUCCUGUCUGAAUAUGGGGGGACCAUCCUCCAAGGCUAAAUACUCCUGACUGACCGAUAGUGAACCAGUACCGUGAGGGAAAGGCGAAAAGAACCCCGGCGAGGGGAGUGAAAAAGAACCUGAAACCGUGUACGUACAAGCAGUGGGAGCACGCUUAGGCGUGUGACUGCGUACCUUUUGUAUAAUGGGUCAGCGACUUAUAUUCUGUAGCAAGGUUAACCGAAUAGGGGAGCCGAAGGGAAACCGAGUCUUAACUGGGCGUUAAGUUGCAGGGUAUAGACCCGAAACCCGGUGAUCUAGCCAUGGGCAGGUUGAAGGUUGGGUAACACUAACUGGAGGACCGAACCGACUAAUGUUGAAAAAUUAGCGGAUGACUUGUGGCUGGGGGUGAAAGGCCAAUCAAACCGGGAGAUAGCUGGUUCUCCCCGAAAGCUAUUUAGGUAGCGCCUCGUGAAUUCAUCUCCGGGGGUAGAGCACUGUUUCGGCAAGGGGGUCAUCCCGACUUACCAACCCGAUGCAAACUGCGAAUACCGGAGAAUGUUAUCACGGGAGACACACGGCGGGUGCUAACGUCCGUCGUGAAGAGGGAAACAACCCAGACCGCCAGCUAAGGUCCCAAAGUCAUGGUUAAGUGGGAAACGAUGUGGGAAGGCCCAGACAGCCAGGAUGUUGGCUUAGAAGCAGCCAUCAUUUAAAGAAAGCGUAAUAGCUCACUGGUCGAGUCGGCCUGCGCGGAAGAUGUAACGGGGCUAAACCAUGCAC